rnacentral:lncRNA from 1 species
AGAGUGAUUUUGUAGUCAAACAGUUUGAAAAAAGGGAGAAAAAGUUGUGGUUUGUUCCUGUUGAUUCAAGGAGCUUUGUUUGACAUUUCAGUGAAUUUUAGAAUUCAAAUCUAGAUACAAAAAGAAAAAGAAAAACGUUCUGGAAUUCAAGGAAAAACAGUAGAGGUUUAGAGUGAUUUUGUAGUCAAACAGUUUGAAAAAAGGGAGAAAAAGUUGUGGUUUUUUCCUGUUGAUUCAAGGAAGCUUUGUUUGACAUUUCAGUGAAUUUCGAGUUCGGUUUCGAUCCGAAAUCGAAGUCGAGUAUGCUGUUCCUGAGCUGCUGAAUUCCGUGCUCAAUUCCAACCUUAUCUGGGUUGCUUUUUGCCGCAAUUUCCCUGCUAUUAGGUAUGUAUUCCUUUAAGCUAUGUUCAGACUUCAAAUUUACUAUGAGAUGGAAUUGCUUUAUUGUUUAUUUUUUACAAUGAUUUGGUAAUCAAAUGGUAUGCUUGAUUGUUUAUUGGUUACGCUUAUUAUAUGUGCAAUUCAUAUGAUGUAAAUAGAAGUGUAUUCAUAAGAUUCGGUUUUCUACAAACAUGUGCAAUUUAUAUGAUGUAAAUAGAAGUAUAUUCAAAAGAUUCAGUUUUCUACAAAUGGAAAAGAAAAAGAAUUUUUGUUUUCCACUUACUACUGUAUCUUAUAUUCGGUGGACUCACUGCUAAAAGGUAAAAAUUUGUCCCAUUUGAUAUCUUUGCCGUUUGUUCUUACAUAUAAUGAAAGCACAAAGUCUUAAAAAAAUUUAAAUGCUCGAGGUAUGAGCAAGAAGUCGAGGUUGUUUGUUUCUAACUAUGGGAUGACUUUUAACAUUACCUUUUUUUUUUUUUGAAAAAAGCCAACGGGGGGUUUGGUGGGAGAAGAUGUGAUCUGUUUGGUUAAUUGAUACUGGUAAGUGAUAGAAUCUGCUUAGUGAGCUUGGAGAUGGUCAAAUGCUAAAUUCUUAAAAAAUCUCUUUGAUAAACAGAGUAAAAAAGCCAACGGGAGGUUUGGUGGGAGAAGAUGUGAUCUGUUUGGUUAAUUGAUGCUGGUAAGUGACAGAAUAUGCUUAGUGAGCUUGGAGAUGGUCAAAUGCUAAAUUCUUAAUAAAUCUCUUUGCUAAACAGAGUAUAAAAUAUUUACAUGCUCUCUCACUAAGAAUUUUUAUUAUAUUUUAACAAACUAUUCGGUCUCUAUAGAAUCAUGGAACAGGAAUGCAGAACUGUUUGGGUAUAUAUUUAGGCAAAUUUAUACUUGGGAGCAGUAGUAAAAAAUGGAAUGUUGUUAGUAUCCAAUUUACUCCUACUUAAUGUUGAAAUGAGUGACUAUGUUACAUUUGUACACACAGUCCUUCCUUGUAUAUUCACCGUGUCGAACAAUUAAGUGUCCUCGAGUUUCCUUGAAAUUGAAUUGAUACAGAUUAAUAUAGAAAACAUGGAUAAAUGGAUAAUGUAAUCUUUUGAGUAUCAGCAUACAUGCACCUUGGUAAUUGAUAUUGGGAUGAUAAUUCUGAUGCUAUUUUGGAGGAGAUAUUGCCCUAAGAUAUUACCGAAUCACAUGGACUAUAAAAUUGUCUCUUUAUACAUAAUCUUGGCAAAAAUCAUCUCGUGUGAGGUUUUCUGCAUGUUAAAUACUGUUAUGGAGCCAAAACAUUCAUAUCAUUAAAGUGGCUUUCAUGUUAGUUCCAGAUUAAUACCAUGUAGCUAAUAUGCUUAUUAUUGAGUUCAUGUCACUUAUUUGUUCGAAUAAUCGGUAGCAAUACCUUAGGCAUGUUAUUAAUUCAAUCAAUUAUCUUGAUUGUAUAGACGUUUGCGUGACACGAUUACUAUUUAAAAAAUGAAUAUUUGUAUUUUGCUUUAGGCUUGAUUUAGACUAAUAUUGUGAUUAUGUAUACGUUUCCGUAACAUACUUGCAAAUUUAAUUCUAAAGUGACUAGAGGGAUGGUUCGCGCAACAUCAGCCAAACUUUUCUUAAUAAAUCAGCAAAAGCGUUAUUAAUUGUGGACAUGUAUGCGUGACAUGAUUUUUGACGCGCCAUAGGAAAAAGUAUACGUACGCGCAACUCAAUCAUUUAAUUAUGAAUAAUCAAGUGAUUUAAAAGAGGUAAAACGAUGAAUGCACAUAGGUCGUAAAUGAGUAGCUAAACAAUUUAAGCCAAGUAACAAUCACUAAGCGACCGUGCUAGAACCACGGAAGCCAGGAAUGCCUAACACAACACCUCCUAGAUAAACAGAAUUCCUUAUCUUGAAUUUCUGGUUCGCAGACUGUGAGUAGAGUCAACCUUUCUCGAUUUGGAAUUUAAAAUAAAUCAGUGACUUGGGACACCAAUUAAAAUAUUUCAAGUGGCGACUCUGAUAAAAAAAUGAAUGAAUAAUCCCAUUUCGAAUAAUGUCACUUAAUUGAAAAGAACUCCCUCUACACCCUUCCGGGGGUGUAGUGAAAAAGGAGUUGAGACAGCUACCGGCAUCGAAUUUGUUUUUGGGUAGUAAUGGCAGUCAACAGUUCCUACUGUGAGCGUCGAAGUGGUAGGGUAUAUCAUAUGUUUACAUCUUGGGUUAUGGGUAUGGCUUGAUACAGCUUGCUCAGAUUUAUACAGUGGCUAGAUGUUGGAUUCGAGACUUCUGAUGAAUUCUGGAUGAUAGAGAUUGGGUUCUAAGGUUUAAGGACCGAACUCGAAAUAAGGACCUCCAGUUAUGUUAUGUUGGAGGGCUAUGUGGAUCAGGAUGACGUGGGAUCACCCCCGGGUUGAUGCUUGGCAAGGUUGCAUCGGGAUUUGAUAGCUUUGGAAGGACUCCUAGAACGUUCGAUGAUGAACCUGUGUUUAAGUGGUGGAGGAUGUAACGACCUGAUUGGUUAUUUUGAGUAUCUGCACUUUGCUCGGUGAUGCGAGGGCUCGAUUAUCUCCGCAUGAUGUAUUAUGACUUGCGUAAAUCAUUGGUGUUGGUUUUCAAGUUAUCUGGAAUCGGUUUGGAAGAAAGAACUUCAAGAUUUAAGUUCUAAAUUGGAAGAAUUUACUAAGUUUGACUUUUUAGCAUUUGACCUCAGAAUGAAGUUUCUCAAUUCUGUUAGCUCUGUUGGGUGAUUUUGAACUUAGCAGCACGUCCGGAUUGUAAUUUGGAGGUUUGUAGUCGAAUUAGUCUAGAAUUGGCGAAAGUUGGAUUUUUAUGAAGUUUGACUGGGAGUGGACUUUUUGAUAUCGAGGUCGGAUUCCGAUUCUAGAAGUUGGAAUAGGUCUAUAAUGAAAAAUGUGACUUGUGUGCAAAAUGUGAGGUCAAUCAGAGGUGAUUUGAUAUGUUUCGGUAUCAAUUGUAGAAGUUGAAGUUUCAAAGUUCAUUAAUUUUGACUUGAGGUGUGAUUCGUCGUUUCAUAGUUGUUAUUUGUGAUUUGAAGCUUUGAGUUGGUUCAUUUUGUCAUAAAGAACUUGUCUGCAUAAUUUGGCACCAUUUGGAAUUGAUUUGAUAUAAUUCGGACGAUAGGUUGUAAUUCUAGAAGUUCUUGAAGUAUAAGUAAGCAAAUGGUUGUAUGUUUCUGCAUUAUUUUUUAUUUUGAGGUCAUGCAACUCAUGGACACUACAAGUUUUACUUUUGUAUAGACGAAGGUUUUAGAUAGUGCUUCAUUUAAUUGCUGAUGAUUGGUGUAACGAUUUACAAAUAUGUAAAUAAAAACAUUUAGUAUCAAAGUAGCAAAUGGAACAUUCUGUGUAAAAAAUAUAUGGAAUCAACUAUUGAUAGUUGUAUUAGGAUAAGUUGCUUGCACCACGCGCUAUUUGAAUUUUUUUUUACUUUUUUCCGAAAUUUUACAAUUCUUAUGUCCAAACACUCACUAAAUGUGUAAAACUCAUAUAGAGUUCAAGGCAAUAGUCAAAACAAAAAAUAAGCUUACUCCUUGAAAUUUUAUUCUUGAAUUUAUGUUACAUACAUGCGGAGUAUCCCAUGGAGACAUUAUUCUGACAUGUGUAGCAAAGCUUAAUUAGUUGCCACAACUCAAAACUCAACUAGCUUUUUUCACAGAAGUGAGUGAACCAGAAGAGAAACUCACUGAAUCAUACCUUUGAAAAAUAUAAGCCACAAUCAAAGAAGCAGUAAGAGUAACAACAUCCUUAGCCGCACAUUGUUUGUUUGAUUCAGUUGGUCUCCCACUCUGUGGUCCAUUUGACCAAAACAAAAAAUUCAGCAAUUCUUUUCCUUUUUCCUUUGUAAACCUUUCCAACACAAAUUUUCCAGGAUCAUCAAACACCUUUGGAUCUCUCAUUACCAAUGGCUGAUACCCACAAAGAAGUUCACCUUUCUUGAUUUCAUAUACUGAAUCGUGUGAACUUAGCUUAAAAUCUUUUCUUGCUCUUGCAUAUUGAGUUGGCACUGGUGGACUAAGUCUAAGUGUUUCAUAUACAAAAGAUUGAACAAGUUCCAUUUCUUUAACACUCUCAAAACUCAAAUUUUCUGGCUUUAAUCCAACUUUCUCUCUCACUUCAUUUCUUAACUUCUCUUGUAAUUCUGCAUUUUUUUCAUCUCCAAGAUUUCCCAGAAGGGUUGGCAAGAAAAUAGAGAAACCACCAAAAGCAUUGAACCCAAGAAUGAACAAAAGGUUAUGUAUAACUUCUUGUUCAGUAAGUCCAAACUCUGACUUCCCUCUGUUUAAAACUUCCUUGGCUUCAUCUUUCACAAAUUGAAUCAGUUUUUCAUAACUACCUUUGACAAGGAAAAAAGGGUAAGUAAAAGAGUGGACAAAUAUUUCUUCAAGGGGUUGAAGUAUACCAAUACUAACAGUGGGUGCAAGUUGAAUAGCUAGCCACGUGUCAAGCAUGACAUAGCCGGAAUUGGCUAUUUCUGGUGAAGCUGAUGGAUUGGCUCCUAAGAGAGUGAGAGAGAAAAGGUUGAAGAGGAAUUUUUGCAUAGCAGGGAGGAGAGAAGCUGAGUUUGAUCUUGAGAUAUCUGAUUCAAAAGUUUCAAACAUGGAGUUGAGCUCAUUGACAAGUGUAGGCACCCAUGUUUUUGA